CAGCAGCCACGGGAAUACGUAGGGCGCAAGCGUUAUCCGGAAUUAUUGGGCGUAAAGAGCUCGUAGGCGGUUUGUCGCGUCUGCCGUGAAAGUCCGGGGCUCAACCCCGGAUCUGCGGUGGGUACGGGCAGACUAGAGUGAUGUAGGGGAGACUGGAAUUCCUGGUGUAGCGGUGAAAUGCGCAGAUAUCAGGAGGAACACCGAUGGCGAAGGCAGGUCUCUGGGCAUUAACUGACGCUGAGGAGCGAAAGCAUGGGGAGCGAACAGGAUUAGAGACCCCUGUAGUCCCUGUCUCUUAUAC
rnacentral:rRNA from 1 species